rnacentral:rRNA from 1 species
AAAUUGAAGAGUUUGAUCAUGGCUCAGAUUGAACGCUGGCGGCAGGCCUAACACAUGCAAGUCGAACGGUAACAGGAAGCAGCUUGCUGCUUCGCUGACGAGUGGCGGACGGGUGAGUAAUGUCUGGGAAACUGCCUGAUGGAGGGGGAUAACUACUGGAAACGGUGGCUAAUACCGCAUAACGUCGCAAGACCAAAGAGGGGGACCUUCGGGCCUCUUGCCAUCAGAUGUGCCCAGAUGGGAUUAGCUAGUUGGUGAGGUAACGGCUCACCAAGGCGACGAUCCCUAGCUGGUCUGAGAGGAUGACCAGCCACACUGGAACUGAGACACGGUC